rnacentral:rRNA from 1 species
ACGAAGAAAAAUUUAAAUACUCUCAGCACUGGUUCCCAUCUGAGCUUGGAAGUUAAGAAGGAUCAGUUCUGGUUAGUAUUUGUAUGGGAGACCACCAAUGAAUACCAGGUUCUCUAAGCU